UGGGAAUUUUGGACAAUGGGCGAAAGCCUGAUCCAGCAAUGCCGCGUGUGUGAAGAAGGCCUUCGGGUUGUAAAGCACUUUUGUCCGGAAAGAAAUCCUUGGCUCUAAUACAGUCGGGGGAUGACGGUACCGGAAGAAUAAGCACCGGCUAACUACGUGCCAGCAGCCGCGGUAAUACGUAGGGUGCAAGCGUUAAUCGGAAUUACUGGGCGUAAAGCGUGCGCAGGCGGUUUGCUAAGACCGAUGUGAAAUCCCCGGGCUCAACCUGGGAACUGCAUUGGUGACUGGCAGGCUAGAGUAUGGCAGAGGGGGGUAGAAUUCCACGUGUAGCAGUGAAAUGCGUAGAGAUGUGGAGGAAUACCGAUGGCGAAGGCAGCCCCCUGGGCAAUACUGACGCUCAUGCACGAAAGCGUGGGGAGCAAACNGGAUUAGAUACCCUGGUAGUCCACGCCCU
rnacentral:rRNA from 1 species